rnacentral:lncRNA from 1 species
GUUCAGCAGGUCAGGGGCCUCACCGAAGCAGUGUAGGCCAUGCAGCAAUAGCCGCAGCGGUCGCAGACAUCUGUGCGACUGGAAAGAGCAUUGCCGGAGUUUCAGAAUCUGACGAUCGAUAGGCCACUUGGGCUAAUCGCCCUGUCUUCCCUAGAAAAGGGAAGCAGAGGGCGGAGAGCCCUUUGUUUGAUAAUGAUUCCACCCCCAGAGGGUCCCUACCUCCAUUCUGCUAGAAGACCCUCAAGCCGCCAAAGAGGAAGGAACAGCCUGA